UAUACCGGUUCCCGUACGAUCACCGAAGUUAAGCAACUUCGAGCUUGGUCAGUACCGAGAUGGGUUAACGUAUGACAAUACUAGGUGGUGUAA